rnacentral:lncRNA from 1 species
AAGGAUUGCUCAGUCACUCUAAUAGAAUUUUUGGAGAAGAAGGUCAAAGUUUUUGCAAUUUUCAUGGGAUUGUUGGACAUGACAUUCAGUCAUGUGAGGACUUUAAAAGGUUACUUCAAGACCGAAUGGAUAAUAAGGAGAUCAAGGUCCUUAACAAGAGGGAAGAUGCCAACGAAAGAGAAGUAUGCGUCUCUGAUAGCCAAUCAUCAGGGCCCC